UCCCUGCGGGAGAGACGGACGAGAAAGCGAAACCGUCGCCGAAGGAGCAACCGCCCCGGAAACUCUCAGGCAACCGGACCGCAGGGGG
rnacentral:ncRNA from 1 species